rnacentral:rRNA from 1 species
UACAGAGGGUGCAAGCGUUGUUCGGAAUUAUUGGGCGUAAAGGGCGCGUAGGCGGUUUGUCGCGUCGGAUGUGAAAGCCCGGGGCUUAACCCCGGGUCUGCAUUCGAUACGGGGCAGACUGGGAGUGUGGUAGGGGAGAUCGGAAUUCCUGGUGUAGCGGUGAAAUGCGCAGAUAUCAGGAGGAACACCGGUGGCGAAGGCGGAUCUCUGGGCCAUUACUGACGCUGAGGAGCGAAAGCGUGGGGGAGCGAACAGG